GCCUCCCAGGAAGGGGGUGCAUGGAGAUGAUGGAGGCAGGCAGCCCUGGUGUAGCUGAGGCUCUGGUUUCUUCAACAGAGUCGUGUGUGUGUGUGAGUGUGUGUGUGUGUGUGAGUGUGUGUGUGUAUGACUAUCCUGGGUUGCGCUCACUCACACUUCCUGGCCUUGCACCACUGGCAUGGCUGACCUGGUCCAACGAACACACCAUUCUGGAACCACUCGAUUUUUCAUACCCUCUUCUCAGAUGCUGGGCAGAGCGUGUCUUUCCCAACACCUGAGGCAAACAGAGUCACACGUAUGUUUGAAACAAAACUGGAAUCGCACUAUAAAUGUCGUUUUGCAGCUUUCUCCUUUCAUGCAUGGCUAAUGACAGAUGUCUACUCAUCGUACAGAGGGCUCAUCUACAAUGUUACCUGUAACAGCAGAGCGCUGUGUAGAGUCACCCGUGUUUUGUUUAACCUAUAUGCUCUGGUUAGACAUUAAUCCUUGCUUCCUCCUUCCUUUAUGAUGAACAUUCUUAUGGUUAAAUCUUUGUGCAUGUUCACAAAAAUUUCUUAUGACAAAUCCUUAGGUGUGGAAUUGCUGAGUCAAUGAAUAUAGUCACUAA